AAAAAUUUAGUUAAUAAAUAUAACAUUAGUUUGUCAAACUAAAAUAAUUUUAAUAAAAAAUAAUUUUUA
rnacentral:tRNA from 1 species